rnacentral:rRNA from 1 species
UUAUGAUCUCAAAUCAGACGAGAUUACCCGCUGAACUUAAGCAUAUCAGUAAGCGGAGGAAAAGAAACUAACAAGGAAGCA